UCGUACGAUUAUCGUGUGAAAAGUUUCAGAAUCUUUUUCUGCUCCACUUACCAUGACACGAUCUCAUAUUUUGAUUUUUCCCUUUCUUAUAUUUUUCCCCUGAAGAAGAAAUUUCUAGGGCAAAAAAAUGGGUCUUCCCAAAAAAACCAAUCGAAACCUAGAUUUCCGUUCCACCAAAGACGAGGCUUGGUACACUGUUGGUAAGGUGUCCAUAAGCAAGACGAAGAACAUCCUCACUGUCAGAUUCGCUGGGUUUGAUAAGGAAGAUGAUGAAAAAUUCAGUGUCAAAGAUUUUAAUACAGUGAACGAACUGGAUGAUUUUCUGAACAGAUUUCGACCAGCUUGUGUUCAGUUGCAAGAUAAACUGUGCUGCUUUGAGUCGUGGCUUUGAAGUUUGUGCAUUGCUUGAUCUAGGCGAAGAAGAUAAGAAGUUCUAUGAUGGAAAAAUUGAGUCGAUAAGCCGCAAGCGUCAUAGACGUAAAGGAGGAGAAGAGACUUGUUCUUGUGCAUUUGUAGUUGGGUGGUCAGAAGGUCCAAAGGCUAGAAGCACCCAACAGAUGGGAAUUGAAAGUAUUUGCAAACUUGAACAAGGAUCUCCAUUGUUUGAUCAUGCGCUGGCAUAUUUCGUGAAGAUGCCGUCAAAACAGCUUGAUUUUGGUUUCAAAUGAAAAUCAAUUGCCAGUCAAAAAAAAGUUCAAGGUAAACUUUCAGGUUUGAAUUUGCUUGUAGUAGCUAAUUGCCAAUUAAUGGGUGCGUAGUUUGGACCAUUUUAUUUUGUCAACAGUAAUUCGAAGUUAUUAUAUCAUAAGGAAAUUUUGGGAAAUUAGACUUGGUGGGAUUAUAUGUCCACCUUUGUAAAUACUAUUUUGUCAAUAAGAUUGUGAGGACUGAGGAAUACAAAGUACGCAGUAGAAACUUAAUCAGGCGUCUUAAAUUCGUGUAAUUAUUUUGAUUGAAGGUGUUAAUCUAGUUAUGAUUUAUUGACUGCAGUAGUUGUUUCUUUAAUUGUGUCCAUUUGUAUCUUCAAUUGUGUCCAUUCAUUUCAGCAGCCGUAUUUGCGAGACAGUAGAAACUUAAUCAGUCUGUCUUAAAUUCGUGUAAUUAUUUUGAUUGAAGGUGUUAAUUCAGUUAUGAGUUA